rnacentral:rRNA from 1 species
UACAGGGGGGUGCAAACGUUGCUCGGAAUCAUUGGGCGUAAAGCGCACGUAGGCGGUUCGUUAUGUCGGAUGUGAAAGCCCUUGGCUUAACCGAGGAAGUGCAUCCGAAACUGGCGAGCUAGAGUACUAAAGAGGAUCGCGGAAUUCCCGGUGUAGAGGUGAAAUUCGUAGAUAUCGGGGAGGAACACCGGUGGCGAAGGCGGCGAUCUGGGUAGAUACUGACGCUGAGGUGCGAAAGCGUGGGGAGCAACAGG